rnacentral:rRNA from 1 species
GAAAUUCGCCUUCAUGAAGCUGGAAUUGCUAGUAAUGGCAGGUCAGCAUACUGCCGUGAAUACGUUCCCGGGCCUUGUACACACCGCCCGUCACACCAUGAGAGUUGGGAAUACCCGAAGCCUGUGAGCCAACUUUUAAAGAGGCAACAGUCGAAGGUAGAAUCAAUGAUUGGGGUGAAGUCGUAACAAGGUAUC